GAUAUUUGGGACGCAACUGCAGAGUAGUCAUCCCGUCGUGUGUUGUCCUGAGGAUCCGGCUUGAGUUUCCAGACCCGACCGGACAGUAUCUUGGCUUCCGCCCGCCCCUUGGCUGAACCUGGACUUGUGUCAAGCCACUACUUCCUCUUUUGAGGGACAAAGUCUGAGGCAAGAUCCUUGAGGACUGGUAUUCUCUGAAGCUCCUCAAGAAAUGAUGCGAGGUCCGGGAACCUCUUCAAACACCAGUGCAAUCAAAUCGGCUGUCCUGUAGAGGUUGUUGCUUGCUCGCGUUCAGCAUUUUCAUUGUAAUGAAUCACUGACAGAAACAACCUACAAUACAAAAAGGGAGACACAAGGGAUGUCUUCAUGUGCUCAACUCUUCACACAGCACAUGCAGGUGACAGUCCAGAGGAGAGUCAAAGGUGCAGAUGGUCGCUGGGAAUUGAAGGAUGUUCCUGUUCCCCGAGCUGUCAAAGACUACAACCGGUGCAAAAGUGGGGUCUAGCUCCACAGCCAGAACCAUACAAACUCCUCCUCCAAGUGGAACACACCAUAGGCCAGUGCACAUCAGCAUGGACCGCACCAUUGGUCGGCGAAAGUGCAAGUAUUGUCACAAAAAGACCCCAUUGAAAUGUGCCUCAUAUGAUGUGCCCUUGUGCUUUAUUCCCAAGAGAGACUGUUAUAAUGACUGGCAUGUUGCAAAUAACUUGUAGGAUGUCACUCAUAAAGAUAGUUUGUAAAUAAUGUAAAUAUGUGUGUUUUCUAAAGUUUGCUGUGUUGCAAGAGUUUUCCACAAUAACACUUGUUUCUACUCAUUUUUUACACAGAACGGUAAUGCACGAAGCUAGAAAAAUGCACUUUAAAUGUGUUUAUGCUUCUAUAAAUCUAUUUCAGCAAUACUGAUAGUGAUUCUGAGUAUUGUAUAGCGUAGCUCUAAUUGUUACCUUUUCAUAGAGCCAAGAAUGAUGCAUGUACGUCAAAGCGUUCAGGAGUAGCAGCCUUUUUAUCCCAGGUAUGUCAUCAUGGUUACCAAGGGUCCUUUUGGAGUCUCCAAAUGGCACAGUUUGGAAACGCCUUGACAUACCCAUAGAAAAACAGCAAAUUUGUCAAAUUUGGACUGAAACUAGGUAAGGCUUUAUGACACAGCCCAAAUCACCUUUCAAGCUAAUAGCGCCCAGCUGUAGUCAUCUAUUGGCUUAUUUUUAAAGAAAAUAUUCAGGCGGAAACAAAAUUAUUUUUUUAUUUGUAGUUUCAGCUUGUAUUAUUCAAUACCAGUCGUAAAAACUGUGAUUAUGGCUGUUUGGGAAGAAACUACAGAGUGUUACCUUUCAAAUGUGACCUUGUUUGAGCUGUAACUCUAAAUGGUUCAAAAACAGCAUACAAUUUGCUUUGGGUAUGUCUGGAUAGGCGUUUUUUGGCAUUAUUUUGCAAGAUCUCUAAGAAGUUAUUAAAGGUGAGGAGCAGAAU